rnacentral:rRNA from 1 species
AGAUUGAACGCUGGCGGCAGGCCUAACACAUGCAAGUCGAGCGGUAGAGAGAAGCUUGCUUCUCUUGAGAGCGGCGGACGGGUGAGUAAUACCUAGGAAUCUGCCUGAUAGUGGGGGAUAACGUUCGGAAACGGACGCUAAUACCGCAUACGUCCUACGGGAGAAAGCAGGGGACCUUCGGGCCUUGCGCUAUCAGAUGAGCCUAGGUCGGAUUAGCUAGUUGGUGAGGUAAUGGCUCACCAAGGCUACGAUCCGUAACUGGUCUGAGAGGAUGAUCAGUCACACUGGAACUGAGACACGGUCCAGACUCCUACGGGAGGCAGCAGUGGGGAAUAUUGGACAAUGGGCGAAAGCCUGAUCCAGCCAUGCCGCGUGUGUGAAGAAGGUCUUCGGAUUGUAAAGCACUUUAAGUUGGGAGGAAGGGCAGUUACCUAAUACGUGAUUGUCUUGACGUUACCGACAGAAUAAGCACCGGCUAACUCUGUGCCAGCAGCCGCGGUAAUACAGAGGGUGCAAGCGUUAAUCGGAAUUACUGGGCGUAAAGCGCGCGUAGGUGGUUUGUUAAGUUGAAUGUGAAAUCCCCGGGCUCAACCUGGGAACUGCAUCCAAAACUGGCAAGCUAGAGUAUGGUAGAGGGUAGUGGAAUUUCCUGUGUAGCGGUGAAAUGCGUAGAUAUAGGAAGGAACACCAGUGGCGAAGGCGACUACCUGGACUGAUAC